rnacentral:rRNA from 1 species
UACGAAGGGUGCAAACGUUGCUCGGAAUCAUUGGGCGUAAAGCGCACGUAGGCGGCUUUGCAAGUCGGACGUGAAAUCCCUCAGCUCAACUGAGGACGUGCACCCGAAACUGCAAGGCUUGAGUACUGAAGAGGAUCGCGGAAUUCCCGGUGUAGAGGUGAAAUUCGUAGAUAUCGGGAGGAACACCAGUGGCGAAGGCGGCGAUCUGGGCAGAUACUGACGCUGAGGUGCGAAAGCGUGGGGAGCAAACAGG